rnacentral:rRNA from 1 species
AUGGGACAAUGCUCUAUUAAUGAUGGUCAUCACACUUCUAUUUAUUUACAACUCAAUGAUUACAACUCGAUACUAGAACAAAAUAUGACUCUAUAUAAGUGCCUCCGGCGGUGUACCGGGAUGGGCAAUGAAUCAAGAGUGACAUGUAUGAUAAAUUAUGCAUGGUGGCUUUUCCACAAAUACGAUGUCAACUACAUGAUCAUGCAAGGCAAUAUGACAAUGAUGAAGCGUGUCAUAAUAAAUGAAACGGUGGAAAGUUGCAUGGCAAUAUAUCUCGGAAUGGCUAUGAAAAUGCCAUAA